rnacentral:lncRNA from 1 species
AACACAGUUUUCAGAAAAAGAAAUAAAUGGAAAAAAGUUCCAGGUCACUCAUAAUCAGAUAUCACUUUUAUCUAUCAAAUUGAGAAAGAUGGAAUAAUAGUCACUCUUGGCAAGAACAUGGUCAAACAAGUACUCCAAUUUUAGUACUGAAACUUUAAAUUCGUACACCACCAUUAUGGGCAAUGUGGCAAUGUAUAUCAAAAUUAUAAAUGGACAUAUAUUUUUAUGCAGCAAUUUCCCCACUCGCAGGGAUUUUCCUGCGUAUGUGUUCAAGCAUGUGUUAUAUAAUCUGGAUAUUAAAUUAUUUAACACAUAAUUUAGCACAAAAUCCACUGCAAAGUAAAAAGUAAAUGAGGAAUCACACUCAUCAGUUAUUCCAAGAAAAGAGACAAGUAGGAAAGAGAUUUUUCACUGUACUUCCCUUUAUCUUUGGUAAUGCGAACCUUGUGAAUAUAUUACUAAAUCCAGAAAUAAAUAAAUAAAAGUUAAAAGCUUUUGCCAUUGUGAUGGUUUUUAUGUAAACAGUUCAGUAUUUUAUUUGGUAUUUUGACGGUCCUGCUACAGCAAAUAGCUAAAGAUCGUUCAGGACUUUCAUGCUAUCAUUGUUUUUAUGGAGUUGGGUCUUAUUUUAUUUAUUUAUUUAUUUGUUUGUUUUUUGUUUUUUGUCUUUUCAGGGCCACGCCUGCGGCAUAUGGAGGUUCCCAGGCUAGGGGCAGAGUCGGAGCUGUAUUUGCUGGCCUCUGACAGAGCCACAGCACUACAGAUCACAGCAAGGCCAGCUCCUUAACCCACUGAGCGAGGCCAGGGAUCAAACCUGCAUCCUCAUGGAUGCCACACAGAUUCAUUUCUGCUGAGCCAUGUCGGGAACUCCUGGAGUUGGGUUUUAAAUAUGAACCCUCCAAGCAAGGAGAAUGCCAGAGUGCUCAUUUCUUCCCAACGGCUGAUUUUUCUAUUGUGAUAUUAUCCGAUUUAUUUUUUUAGGUUAGAGCUGGCAGUAGGCAGAAUUCUGAGACAGCCCCACAUUUAUAUGAGUUUUUAGCUCACAGCCAGGCUCUUUUGUUCACGUGUUGUCUGUGGAUACUUUUGCUCUGCAGCAGAGUUGAGUAGUCUCAACAAGAAGCCACACGGCCCCCCAAAACCUACAAUCGUUACUGUAUUUCCCUUUAGAGGAAAAGUUUGCCAACCCCUGUUGAAACCAUUUUGAAUUAUCUCCUCAUAUUUGCAGCCUAAAAGCAUUCACACAAUUUUGGUCUCUUUCGUUCUGAUGAAAAGUGAAAUAACACUAAACCAAAACUGAUAAUAAUGACUAUGCAGGUUUUCAAGUCAAUUUUGACUGAGGAAUAGCAUACUACAUGAAAGUUUACAAAUCAUUAUUGUACAGCUCAAUGAGCUUUUACAAAGCAAAGAUAACUUGUGUAACCCUCACCAAACCACAAGAACUCCCUUGUCCCACCUUUAGUCACUUCGUAUCCCUCUCCAAAGACACUCACCUUUCAGAUUUCUGUCAGAAGACAUCUCCAUAGCUUAAUUUUGACUGCUUAUAAACUUCAUAUAAAUGGAUUUAUAGUAUGUUUAUAUUGUGUCUGACUUCUUUUGCUCUGUGUUUUGAUUAUGAAAUUCCUCUGUUUUUGUAGCAGAAGUUCAUGCAUUCUCAUUGCUAUGUAUUGUUCCAUUGUGUGUCACGAUUUAUUUAUCCAUUCUACAGUCAGUGGACAUUUGAGUUGUUUCCAAUUUUUGACUAUUACAAAGAGUGCUGUUGUGAAUAAUGUAUUUUUUGUGUGUGUAUAUAUAUAUAUGUAUAUAUGUACAUGCUAUAUAUGUUACAUAUGUAAGUUAUAUAUGUAUAUGUUAUGUGUGUAUAUAAGUCAUAUACAUAUGUGUAUGUAUGACAUACACACUGAUGGAGUGGAAGUGUGAGUUAUUCAUAAAUUUUUUUUACUAUGAAUCUGCAGUACAAUUCAAUGUCAGAAAGUACAGAGUUUCGCUGAACAGAAAUUGGUCUUGUUCCCAUUUUACUUUAACAUUAAGAUUAAUUUAGCAGAGUGUCAGGCUCAAAAGACUACAUGCAACCAGACACCCAUAGCAUUACUUUAAAGAAUUUUCAAGCUGCCUGCCUGGAGACUAAUUGUUCGAGCAGCUGAAUUCAAAUCAUUGCUUCCUUUGGAACACUGGGAAGGAUCAGAUCACUCUGGCAAGUUGCUAAGUCACAGAAGUGCAUUUUCUGGGACGUAUUCCUUACUUUAGGAAAAAUGAUGAAAAGUUAUAGAUGGAUGGGGUGGCAGGGAGCCGGACAGAGAGCUCAGCUCAAAAAAAAAAAAAAAAA